UUCCAAUUGUAAAAACCGUCGAUGCUUGGUGUUCUGUGAUGUUGAUAAAUCACGGCAGACUUCAAUCAAAUCGCCUCCCCCGUUUAUACGACAUCCUCCAUCUCCAAACACCACCUCCACUUUGCCGGUCACUCACCCUCAUCAAGCACCGGUCACCCACCACCGUACUCCUUCUCCACCGUGAACCCCAAUCGCCGUACAAGGACGUAUUUCCGGUGGCCGUCUCCGGCGGUGGAAUGGACACAUCAAUCACUGGGUUUGAAGAGGGGUUAUCGCAUACAUGGUCAGCCUAGGGUUAGGAUGAAGAUGCAAUGAGAUGACGGCACAGGUAAGCAAAUGACAUCUUAAUUUAUGCAAAAAAAUCUGAUUUGUUUCGAUUCAGUAUGGUGGGUUGAGUGUGGAUUAUUGUGAUUGCAAUCCUGAAUUUACUAUUGGUGAUCCGGCUACAGUUGUUACUGUUAAACCAACCACUAAACAAACUGUGGAGAUUAUCGUAAAUGAGGUAAAAUUACAAAUAGUUUUGAGAGCUGAAAUCUUAAUUUAUUUGGUUUGUGAAAGCUCAUAAGAUGACAGUCAAUAAACUUGAGAUUUUAAAGGACUUCACCCGGUCAUGACGAUGCCAUUUGGGCCCAAUCAGCCACCCUCCUCCAGUUGAGACUAAAAGGUAAGUACUUUUUCAAGCCAUUAAGGUUUUGGUGAGUGAAGCAUUGGAUCUGGAUUUUCUUGUCAAACCAAGUAAGUCCGGUUCAGCUGCUUUUGACUUGAAUGUAUUAAGUGUCAAGCCCUUCAUCUCCAAACGCCAGUGAAUCCCAAACGAUGUUCCCAAUCCCCCAACGUACACAAUUAAAUAGUUGAUCAGAUGAGACUUAAAUCAAAAUUUAACUGAACUUCAACGAUUCCCCAAUUAGCAAUAACUGGAAUCGAUAUGAUAUGAUAU